ACCACCACUACUAUUACGUCCUGCUGCCGUCGUCGUCGUCGUCCUAUCGUCGUCGUCGUCGACGACGACGUCGAGGCCAGCAGGCUUCUACUCUUCUAUUCACUUAUCUUCUUUUUGUGAUCCUCAAAAAGCUAAAAAAAGGGACCACCACCACCACCUAAAGCAGUAGCAGCAGCACACCAGCACCAUCAUCGUGCGCAGCAACGCGCGAUCAAUUCCGGCUGGUUGCGCCGCUCGCGCGCGACUAUUAUUUAUUACGGUUUUAUUCUUGAACAACGGCUAAAUUAAAAAGAAAUGACGACGACGAGACACCUGCCAAUGUGUUACCGAUAACGGCAGGCCGAAUGAUGUUGUCGCAGAGCAAGUUUUACGCUCUCUUCAUUCACUACACGUUCGUGUAGCGCAACACGGGGCGGGUCCUUCUUGCCGGAGCUGUUGAAGGAAUUCGAAGUGGAGGAACUAGAGGAGCAUUUGGUAAAGAAGAAGAAGAAGAAGAAGAAGAAGAAGAAGAAGAAGAGGAGGAAGAGGAAGAAGAGUGUGCAAGGAGGAAACAGAGGAAGACAGUGAAACUUAAAGCCAAAGUCGAUAAGGAUCGACCGACACGAACAGUAGACUAUGUUAUUUCGGAUAACGGAUUGAUCGCACCCGUCGCUUCAUUCACACGUCGGACAUGAAAAAUCUUGGUUCGCGUUGGACGGUCCCCGACAUAGCACGCACUGCUGCAGCGCGUUCGUCAUUUCUCGUGGCCAUUUCGUCGGAACGAGAUUCAGGUAGUAUCAGCAGCAGUAGCAAAAGUAAAAGCAACGAUAACAACAGCAGUAACAGCAGAAGCAGAAGCAACAGCAACAGCAGCAGUACCAGUAACAGUAAAAGAA